GAUGAACGCUGGCGGCGUGCUUAACACAUGCAAGUCGAACGAUGAUCCCUAGCUUGCUGGGGGGAUUAGUGGCGAACGGGUGAGUAACACGUGAGUAACCUGCCCUUGACUCUGGGAUAAGCCUGGGAAACUGGGUCUAAUACUGGAUAUGACUGACUAUCGCAUGGUGGUUGGUGGAAAGCUUUUGUGGUUUUGGAUGGACUCGCGGCCUAUCAGCUUGUUGGUGGGGUAAUGGCCUACCAAGGCGACGACGGGUAGCCGGCCUGAGAGGGUGGACGGCCACACUGGGACUGAGACACGGCCCAGACUCCUACGGGAGGCAGCAGUGGGGAAUAUUGCACAAUGGGCGCAAGCCUGAUGCAGCGACGCCGCGUGAGGGAUGAAGGCCUUCGGGUUGUAAACCUCUUUCAGUAGGGAAGAAGCGAAAGUGACGGUACCUGCAGAAGAAGCGCCGGCUAACUACGUGCCAGCAGCCGCGGUAAUACGUAGGGCGCAAGCGUUAUCCGGAAUUAUUGGGCGUAAAGAGCUCGUAGGCGG
rnacentral:rRNA from 1 species